AUAAUUAUUUUGAGCAGGAGAUAUGAGGAUGGCCUGAGGGCAGCUUCUGAAGCCCAAGCUCAGACCUUCAGGGAUAAUCUCAAUUUUAAACAGGGUCUCCAUCCCUUAUCCCCCUAAAUGUCAGCCCAUGAAGUCUUUUAUUUAUUUAUUUAUUUAUUUAUUUAUUUAUUUAUUUUAUUUAUUUAUUUUUGUCUUUUUAGGGUCACACCUGCACCACAUGGAAGUUCCCAGGCUAGGGGUCCAAUGAGAGCUACCACUGCCGGUCUACACCACAGCCACAGCAACACCAGAUCCGAGCCACAACUUCGACCUACGCUGCAGCUUGUGGCAAUGCCGGAUCCUUAGUCCACUGAGCGAGGCCAGGGAUCGAACCCGUGUCCUCAUGGAUGCUAGUCAGAUUCGUUUCCACUGAGCCACAACGGGAACUCCCCAUUAGGUCUUGAUGUUCACAGGAUAAGAUCCAAGAAGAAUGCUCUGCUUGGAAAUCUGUGCUCAAUCUUAAGACUUUGCAAACAGAGAAAAUAAAUCUCCAUGUCAGUUAACAAACAAAUGUGCUAUUUCAAAAGAUCUAAAACAAGAACUUUAGAAAUGGACAGAGCCCAGGAAACGGACCCAAAUCCUAUUUCGUAAGGCACUUCCAAGCUGUGUUGACUUAUUUCAGCUUGACUAGAGACCCAACAAAUUAACAAUAGCUUGUGCUUUAUGCAAAGCUACAAAAAGACAAUGCCAUCAUCCCAAGAGUUCCUCUGAAGAUGUGGCACCAUAGAAAUGACUGCCCUGGGUCUUGGUGCACUAAUUUCCUUCCAAGGCCCCCAGCGCCCUAGAUUCACUCUUUUAUAUUCCAAACCGUACAUGUGCCUAGAGGCAACACAAGACUGCCUUGAAGUUAAAGACUCCUGAAAAACAUUAUCUAACUUGAAUCAUGCAAAGUUCAAAACGGAGUUAACAUUUUUUAAGUUCCACAAUUCCAAAAGAAGUUUAAAAUUAUAAGAAAAACACUCCAGGGGACGGACUGAAACAGCAAUAAAAUCACCUUUUAAAUAACGGUUAAGAGUACAAAAAAGAAAAAACAAAUGAGGACU
rnacentral:lncRNA from 1 species